rnacentral:rRNA from 1 species
AUUGAACGCUGGCGGCAGGCUUAACACAUGCAAGUCGAACGGUAACAUAAAGAAGCUUGCUUCUUUGAUGACGAGUGGCGGACGGGUGAGUAAUGCUUGGGAAUCUAGCUUAUGGAGGGGGAUAACUACGGGAAACUGUAGCUAAUACCGCGUAGAAUCGGGAGAUGAAAGUGUGGGACCUUCGGGCCACAUGCCAUAGGAUGAGCCCAAGUGGGAUUAGGUAGUUGGUGAGGUAAAGGCUCACCAAGCCGACGAUCUCUAGCUGGUCUGAGAGGAUGACCAGCCACACUGGGACUGAGACACGGCCCAGACUCCUACGGGAGGCAGCAGUGGGGAAUAUUGCGCAAUGGGGGCAACCCUGACGCAGCCAUGCCGCGUGAAUGAAGAAGGCCUUCGGGUUGUAAAGUUCUUUCGGUAGCGAGGAAGGCAUUUAGUUUAAUAAACUGGAUGAUUGACGUUAACUACAGAAGAAGCACCGGCUAACUCCGUGCCAGCAGCCGCGGUAAUACGGAGGGUGCGAGCGUUAAUCGGAAUAACUGGGCGUAAAGGGCACGCAGGCGGUGACUUAAGUGAGGUGUGAAAGCCCCGGGCUUAACCUGGGAAUUGCAUUUCAUACUGGGUCGCUAGAGUACUUUAGGGAGGGGUAGAAUUCCACGUGUAGCGGUGAAAUGCGUAGAGACGUGGAGGAAUACCGAAGGCGAAGGCAGCCCCUUGGGAAUGUACUGACGCUCAUGUGCGAAAGCGUGGGGAGCAAACAGG